rnacentral:snoRNA from 10 species
GGACUCGCUGGGGCUUGGUCCUCGCCACGUGGUCCUGACCUGCCCUCCGUGAGUGAGAGAAACAGAGAACUGGUUUGGGGGCGUCCUGUCCCAGUGGACACAGGAGACCACGGUUUCCAGUACCACA